rnacentral:rRNA from 1 species
AGUCGAACGGCAGCGCGGGGCAACCUGGCGGCGAGUGGCGAACGGGUGAGUAAUAUAUCGGAACAUACCCUAGAGUGGGGGAUAACGUAGCGAAAGUUACGCUAAUACCGCAUACGCACUAAGGUGGAAAGCGGGGGAUCGCAAGACCUCGUGCUCAUGGAGUGGCCGAUAUCUGAUUAGCUAGUUGGUAGGGUAAAAGCCUACCAAGGCGACGAUCAGUAGCUGGUUUGAGAGAACGACCAGCCACACUGGAACUGAGACACGGUCCAGACUCCUACGGGAGGCAGCAGUGGGGAAUUUUGGACAAUGGGGGCAACCCUGAUCCAGCAAUGCCGCGUGAGUGAAGAAGGCCCUCGGGUUGUAAAGCUCUUUUGUCAGGGAAGAAACGGUGUUUCCUAAUACGGAAUGCUAAUGACGGUACCUGAAGAAUAAGCACCGGCUAACUACGUGCCAGCAGCCGCGGUAAU